rnacentral:rRNA from 1 species
CCUUCGGGAGGCAGCAGUGGGGAAUAUUGGACAAUGGGGGGAACCCUGAUCCAGCCAUGCCGCGUGUGUGAAGAAGGCCCUCGGGUUGUAAAGCACUUUCAGUGAGGAAGAACGCCUGGUGGUUAAUACCCAUCAGGAAAGACAUCACUCACAGAAGAAGCACCGGCUAACUCCGUGCCAGCAGCCGCGGUAAUACGGAGGGUGCGAGCGUUAAUCGGAAUUACUGGGCGUAAAGCGCGCGUAGGUGGCUUGAUAAGCCGGUUGUGAAAGCCCCGGGCUCAACCUGGGAACGGCAUCCGGAACUGUCAAGCUAGAGUGCAGGAGAGGAAGGUAGAAUUCCCGGUGUAGCGGUGAAAUGCGUAGAGAUCGGGAGGAAUACCAGUGGCGAAGGCGGCCUUCUGGACUGACACUGACACUGAGGUGCGAAAGCGUGGGUAGCAAACAGGAUUAGAUACCCGUGUAGUC